AUUAUACCCCCGCACAACAAAGUUGUAAGGGGGGUAUACUGGAAUCAGCUUGUCCGUCCGUCCGGCUGUCCGUCCGGCCGUCCGUCCGGCCGUCGGUUUUUUCAUUUUGCUCUAUAACUUAAGAUUCCUUUGACCCACAGUCUUCAUAUUUGGCAUGGUAGUUAGUCAUGAUUAGUAGAUGACCCCUAUUGAUUUUGAGGUCACCAGGUCAAAGGUCAAGGUCACAGGGGCCUUGACUUUAAAAAGCUUGUCCGCCCAAUAACUUAAGAUUCCUUUGACCUACAGUCGUCAUAUUUGGCAUGGAGGUUAGUCAUGAUUAGUAGAUGAUCCCUAUUGAUUUUGAGGUCACUAGGUCAAAGGUCAAGGUUACAGGGGCCUUGACUUCAAAAAGCUUGUCCGCCCAAUAACUUAAGAUUCCUUUGACCCACAGUCUUCAUAUUUGGCAUGGAGGUAAGUCAUGAUUAGUACAUGAUCCCUAUUGAUUUUGAGGUCACCAGGUCAAAGGUCAAGGUCACAGGGGCCUUCACUUCAGAAAGCUUGACCGCCCAAUAACUUAAGAUUCCUUUGACCCACAGUCUUCAUAUUUGACAUGAAGGCUAGUCAUGAUAAGUAGAUGACCCCUAUUGACUUUGAGAUCACCAGGUCAAAGGUCAAGGUCACAGGGACUUUGACUUUAAAAAGUUUGUCUGCCCAAUAACUUUAGAUUACUUUGACCCACAGUCUUCAUAUUUGGCAUGGAUGUUGAUCAUGAUUAGUAGAUGACCCUUUUGAUUUUGAGGUCACUGGAUCAAAGGUCAAGGUCAUAGGGACUUUGACUUCAAAAAGUUUGUCCACUCCUUAAGA